rnacentral:misc_RNA from 1 species
GGUCUUUUGUCGUCACGCUGUCUACACGUUUGAGUUUUGCUCUUCGCUUCGAAGUGAGUUUUAUUCGUGCAUACGAAUUCUAGACUUAAAAACAUUUUUAAUUGAUGGAUUUUUGUCAACUGUGAUUGAGGUACAGCAAUCGGCAUUUUGAUUUCCGUCAAACAAUGCAGUGAAUCACGAUUCCUUCCCGGUAUUUCUGGUGUUUGGGAUCUGUUGAUAUUUCGAUCACAGUCCAUCGACGUUGGCGCCAAAAGUUUUUGUUAAGUGUAUUGGACCGUUCCAGCGUAUAGGACUGUCAUAGCUAAGGAAACACUUCCAAGGACUGCGGCUGCUGAAUUUUUAGACAUCAAUGACGAUGGAUCUACGUAGGCCGUUGCUGAUUUUUGCCCUGUAUGUUGUUCUACUCCAACUAGCUGAUGUCAUCGCCGACGACGAAUCAAUCCAACUAGAGAAGGUGACAGUCCUAAGUGGGAAGACCGCCGUACUGCCGUGUGACAUUACACCACCCACGCUCGACUCGCUCUAUCUCGUUCUCUGGUACAAAAACGACUCGGACUUUCCCAUUUACAAGUACGACGCUCGACGUUCCAGAGAAAACUAUCGUCAGCAACAAACUCAGCAUGACAGUCAAAUGUUUUUGUUGCAGCAGCAACAGCAAUACGGCCAACCGCCGUCCAAAAGCAGAAUUCAGUUCCAGUUCGAUAGUCACCCGGCUCUUUUGUUAUUGAAUAAUGUGGUCGAUCCAGAUGAGGGCGUCUAUCGUUGCAGAGUCGAUUUUGGCCGAUCACCAACGCGCAAUGUUCUCGUCCAGCUCACCGUUGUUGUUCCGCCGCAAAAGAUCCGCAUCAUCGAAGACAAUCGACAAGUCUCGUCUGUCAUAGGCCCUUACGAUGAAGGCGAUCAGCUCUCACUGAACUGCAUCGUCACCGGAGGUCGACCACUUCCAGAAGUGACUUGGUGGCUGGGCGAUAAAUUGGUGGAUUACACUUACAUUUCUACGUCAGAAACUGUGGUUCAAAAUAUCCUAGUGAUUCCGAAACUAGAACGACGUCACUUGCACGCUACUCUCCGGUGUCAAGCGUCUAAUUACUUUGGUGUUCGCAACGAUACACCAUCCUAUCCGGUGCAGCCCUAUUGGUACCAGAAACAACACUCAUCUUUCCAUCAUCGUGAACACCAACACGCGAUCGCUUCCAGCGUUCAGCUCGACCUAAAUCUGCGACCUUUGUGGGUCGUGAUCACCGGUGCGGAAAGGCCGCUGUCUGCUGGCAAGUCAUACACGUUCGAGUGUGUCACUGGAGGAUCUCGUCCUUCCGUCAACCUUCGCUGGUACCUUAAUUCCGUUCUGCAACCAGCGCAAGAACGGAUGACGAGCGACGGAAGCAACACAACGAGUACCUUAAAGCUAACUCCAUCGGCCAAAGAUCACGACGCCGAAUUGAUUUGUUCAGCCGUCAAUCCGCUUUUAGACGUCAGCAAUGGCAGUGUCGACACUAACGAGUCAACGUCGUCCGUCCAGACUCGUCGAAAACUCAUCGUCCACUUUGCACCGACGGCGCAACUAGAACUGGGCCGUAGUCUGAAUCCGGAUUCAAUUGCCGAAGGCAAUGACGUUUAUUUCGAAUGUCGCGUUCGAUCUAAUCCGCCUCCUCAUCGCUUCACGUGGACUCACGAGGGGCACAACAUAAAAGAAAACGCGUCGGCUGGAGUCAUCAUGGUAGAACAAAGUCUUGUUAUUCGUCGAGUUUCGCGGUUCCAUUCCGGACGUUAUUCUUGCAGUGCUGUUAACGCAGAAGGCAGCGGGUUCAGCAAUGCAGUACAACUCCGUGUCAUGUUUCAGCCGGUCUGCCGUCCAGGUCAAAAAAUUCUGUACGGAGUUGCUAAACAAGACGCGGUUACCGUGAAGUGCCAGACAGAUGCCAUUCCACCGGCACACUCGCACCGAUGGGCGUUCAACACGUCGAUGUUAGAUGUGACAGAAUUACAGGAAAAUCAAAUAUUGCAAAACAACGGCUUUGCUGAGGGCAGUGUGGAGGCAAAUGGAACCAGCAUUCUUUCCUACUCACCACAAUCCGAUCGCGAUUACGGAAGUCUACUCUGCUGGGGACGUAACGCAGUUGGUGAACAACGAGAGCCUUGCGUCUACCGCAUCUUCCUUGGAGUGCGUCCGGAUCCGCCAAAUAAUUGCUCGGUAUUGAAUCAAACGGCCGAUGCAGUCGAAGUGUGGUGCCGACCGGGAUUUGAUGGCGGUCAUCCACAACUGUUUCAAUUCGAGAUUUUUGAUACACAGUCGGCCGUACUGCUUUACAAUAAAUCCGGAAGGUACCCACACUUGCGCGUUGGCAACUUGGAAUCCGGCGUGAAAUUGUUUAUCCAAAUCUCAUCUUAUAAUCAACGUGGAAGAUCCCCCUUUGUCCAGCUGGAGGCCUACACCAUCAAAAUCGCUGAUAAACAAACAGUGAUCAUGGAGACGGAAGGUUGGGCUUCAAUGCUAGGCAUGGCCAGUGGGAUCCCGGUUUCAAUCGUGAUCGCAUACAUCAUCAUCGCAUUGGUGGCCAGAUUCCGCCGUCGGAACAAUUCCCGUUCUACUCAGGGUGAACGUGUACCCCGUAAAACCCACGAGACCAAAGCUGAUACGACAGUGGCUACCAAUGUUGAUCAACAUCAGCAAAGCACCGAAGAUCCGGAUGUUAUUAUCAAUAGGAAUUCAGCUCACGAGCAGCACUUAAUGCAACAGCAUCAUUGUGAAUCUGGACCAUCCGCCUAUCCUAAAAAGCAAGUGGAAGAUCAGGUGCAACACGACAGUGAACCUAUUCAGUCAAACCUUUUAAAUUGUACUGAUCUGGACAAACCUGUUGCUGUUGUUACGAGCAACCAGUAUUACCGCUCCCUUAAUAGACUAUCACGUGCCGAUCAACCUUGGAUGGCUACUGAUAUGGACACUAUUGUUAUCGUCCAACCUCCUCAUCGACAGAUACAAAUGCCAAUUCAUUUGUUAUAAAUAUCAGCCAUGCGUCAGACAUGCACCUUGAGUUCUAGCGAUUCCAGUCAGUUGAAGAUGUACCGAAGGCAUCAACUGAGUAUUGUUCACUCAAUCUUCCGCUGGAGAAAUAACUGCCGUGAUUGAAAUAAUGUUGGAGAUCAACCUCAUCGUCAAUGGGCAACUGUUUUUUGCGUUUACUCGACAUCCCCUAAUGGCGAGUGCAUGCAUGAUUGAAGGCCGUCAUAUCCCGAGUCCUUGUCAUGGAAGCAAUAGCCAUGAGAUACUUUUCGCAUUCUGGGGCGUGUCAGAAAACGGACUUGUGAUACACUUAUGUCCAUGAAUUUGCCAUAAAGGGUUACCACAAGAACGCACAUGUGUUUCACUGUAAAGAUGCGUCCAUUUCAUCAUUAAGUAUAAACAUGUUGACAGGUUGUUUAACACUGGGCUUUUUUCAGAUAAUUCGCCAGUUUUACUUGAACUUUAUUCAAAUGUGUCGUUAUGAGUUAGAUCCAUAAUUAUUCAUGGUAAUUGCUUUCAACGUGUUUCCAUUUAUGACAAAAAGGAAGCUUUCCAAACCUAACGUUUCCCCCAAGUGAGCAAUCAAAACUGCAUUAAUCCUUCGUACGGUCUGGUUUGCCGAUUUUUAUUGGCUUGUGUAGAACAAAUGUGUUUUUGUUUUGUUUUUUUAUUACAUGGAAAAACCUUGGCUACA